rnacentral:tRNA from 1 species
GUGGCUGUAGUUCAGUUGGUUAGAGCGUCAGAUUGUGGUUCUGAAUGUCGUGGGUUCGAAUCCCAUCAGUCACC